GGAGAGAUGGCAGAGCUCGGUUUAAUGCACCUGACUUGAAAUCAGGCGUGGGGCAACCCACCGGGGGUUCGAAUCCCUCUCUCUCCGCCA
rnacentral:tRNA from 2 species